UGGGGAAUUUUCCACAAUGGGCGAAAGCCUGAUGGAGCAAUACCGCGUGAGUGAAGAAGGUUCGUGGACUGUAAAGCUCUUUUCUUAAGGAAGAACAAAUGACGGUACUUAAGGAAUAAGCACCGGCUAACUCUGUGCCAGCAGCCGCGGUAAUACAGGGGGUGCAAGCGUUGUCCGGAAUGAUUGGGCGUAAAGCAUCUGUAGGUGGUUUCUAAAGUCAACUGUCAAAUCCCAGAGCUCAACUUUGGACAGGCGGUUGAGUACUUAGGAACUUGAGUAUGGUAGGGGUAGAGGGAAUUCCUAGUGGAGCGGUGAAAUGCACAGAGAUUAGGAAGAACACCAGUGGCGAAAGCGCUCUACUGGGCCAUGACUGACACUGAGAGAUGAAAGUUAGGGGAGC
rnacentral:rRNA from 1 species